GCAUCGAUGAAGAACGCAGCGAAACGCGAUAGGUAAUGUGAAUUGCAGAAUUCCGUGAAUCAUCGAAUCUUUGAACGCACCUUGCGCUCCAUGGCAUUCCGUGGAGCAUGCCUGUCUGAGUGCCGCGAAAUCUCCCACCCCUAGCGGUUGCCGCAAGGCGCCGCCGGGCGGCGGGGUUGGUUGGGUGCCGCUGCCUGGGCUUUGGCCCAGGCUCGCCCGAAAUGCAUGAGCGCUUAGCACUCGCACCGUCUCGAGGGAAGGCGGCGGAGCUGGCAUCUGCGCAUGGCAUGAUACGUCAUUUGCUGUGUGGCAGCCCAGCGACCCGAGAGUGUGUGUGCGCUACUACACGCCCUUUCAUUUCUGGUCUCAAAUCAGGUAGGAUCACCCGCUGAACUUAAGCAUAUCAAUAAGCGGAGGA
rnacentral:rRNA from 1 species